UGUGCAAAGCAUUGGCACAUGCUUUUCAAAUUCAUACAUAUAUGUGUGUGUGUGUGUGUGUGUGUGUGUGUGUACACACACACACAUAUAUAUAGUAUAUGU
rnacentral:miRNA from 1 species